rnacentral:rRNA from 1 species
AGGACGAACGCUGGCGGCGUGCUUAACACAUGCAAGUCGAGCGGAAAGGCCCUUCGGGGUACUCGAGCGGCGAACGGGUGAGUAACACGUGGGUAACCUGCCCCUUGCUCUGGGAUAACUCCGGGAAACCGGGGCUAAUACCGGAUAUGACACUCGCAGGCAUCUGCUGGGUGUGGAAAGUUUUUCGGCGAGGGAUGGGCCCGCGGCCUAUCAGCUUGUUGGUGGGGUGAUGGCCUACCAAGGCAGUGACGGGUAGCCGGCCUGAGAGGGCGACCGGCCACGACUGGGACUGAGACACGGCCCAGACUCCUACGGGAGGCAGCAGUGGGGAAUAUUGCGCAAUGGGCGGAAGCCUGACGCAGCGACGCCGCGUGAGGGAUGACGGCCUUGGGUUGUAAACCUCUUUCAGCAGGGACGAAGCGCAAGUGACGGUACCUGCAGAAGAAGCACCGGCCAACUACGUGCCAGCAGCCGC